rnacentral:rRNA from 1 species
GACGAACGCUGGCGGCGUGCUUAACACAUGCAAGUCGAACGGAAAGGCCCGGCUUUUGUGGGGUGCUCGAGUGGCGAAAGGGUGAGUAACACGUGAGUAGCCUGCCCUUGACUGUGGGAUAACUUCAGGAAACAGGGGCGAAUACAGGAUAGGAGCUCCUGCUGCAUGGUGGGGGUGGGAAAGUGUCGGGGGUUGGGGAUGGACUCGCGGCUUAUCAGCUUGUUGGUGGGGUAGUGGCUUACCAAGGCUUUGGCGGGUAGCCGGCCUGAGAGGGUGACCGGCCCCAUUGGGACUGGGAUACGGCCCAGACUGCUACGGGAGGCAGGAGUGGGGAAUAUUGCACAAUGGGCGGAAGCCUGAUGCAGCAACGCCGCGUGCGGGAUGACGGCCUUCGGGUUGUAAACCGCUUUCGCCUGUGACGAAGCGUGAGUGACGGUAAUGGGUAAAGAAGCACCGGCUAACUACGUG